UUCGUUGGGUAGGGGAGCGUUCUGUAAGCCGUUGAAGGUGGCCUGUGAGGGUUGCUGGAGGUAUCAGAAGUGCGAAUGCUGACAUAAGUAACGAUAAAGCGGGUGAAAAGCCCGCUCGCCGGAAGACCAAGGGUUCCUGUCCAACGUUAAUCGGGGCAGGGUGAGUCGACCCCUAAGGCGAGGCCGAAAGGCGUAGUCGAUGGGAAACGGGUUAAUAUUCCCGUACUUGGUGUUACUGCGAAGGGGGGACGGAGAAGGCUAUGUUGGCCGGGCGACGGUUGUCCCGGUUUAAGCGUGUAGGUGUGUGUUCCAGGUAAAUCCGGUUCACUUUAACACUGAGGCGUGACGACGAGGCACUACGGUGCUGAAGCAACAAAUGCCCUGCUUCCAGGAAAAGCCUCUAAGCAUCAGGUAACAUCAAAUCGUACCCCAAACCGACACAGGUGGUCAGGUAGAGAAUACCAAGGCGCUUGAGAGAACUCGGGUGAAGGAACUAGGCAAAAUGGUGCCGUAACUUCGGGAGAAGGCACGCUGACACGUAGGUGAAGUGAUUUACUCAUGGAGCUGAAGUCAGUCGAAGAUACCAGCUGGCUGCAACUGUUUAUUAAAAACACAGCACUGUGCAAACACGAAAGUGGACGUAUACGGUGUGACGCCUGCCCGGUGCCGGAAGGUUAAUUGAUGGGGUCAGCGCAAGCGAAGCUCCUGAUCGAAGCCCCGGUAAACGGCGGCCGUAACUAUAACGGUCCUAAGGUAGCGAAAUUCCUUGUCGGGUAAGUUCCGACCUGCACGAAUGGCGUAAUGAUGGCCAGGCUGUCUCCACCCGAGACUCAGUGAAAUUGAACUCGCUGUGAAGAUGCAGUGUACCCGCGGCAAGACGGAAAGACCCCGUGAACCUUUACUAUAGCUUGACACUGAACAUUGAGCCUUGAUGUGUAGGAUAGGUGGGAGGCUUUGAAGCGUGGACGCCAGUCUGCGUGGAGCCGACCUUGAAAUACCACCCUUUAAUGUUUGAUGUUCUAACGUGGACCCGUAAUCCGGGUUGCGGACAGUGUCUGGUGGGUAGUUUGACUGGGGCGGUCUCCUCCUAAAGAGUAACGGAGGAGCACGAAGGUUGGCUAAUCCUGGUCGGACAUCAGGAGGUUAGUGCAAUGGCAUAAGCCAGCUUGACUGCGAGCGUGACGGCGCGAGCAGGUGCGAAAGCAGGUCAUAGUGAUCCGGUGGUUCUGAAUGGAAGGGCCAUCGCUCAACGGAUAAAAGGUACUCCGGGGAUAACAGGCUGAUACCGCCCAAGAGUUCAUAUCGACGGCGGUGUUUGGCACCUCGAUGUCGGCUCAUCACAUCCUGGGGCUGAAGUAGGUCCCAAGGGUAUGGCUGUUCGCCAUUUAAAGUGGUACGCGAGCUGGGUUUAGAACGUCGUGAGACAGUUCGGUCCCUAUCUGCCGUGGGCGCUGGAGAACUGAGGGGGGCUGCUCCUAGUACGAGAGGACCGGAGUGGACGCAUCACUGGUGUUCGGGUUGUCAUGCCAAUGGCACUGCCCGGUAGCUAAAUGC
rnacentral:rRNA from 1 species